rnacentral:snRNA from 1 species
AUUUAACUUUCGUCUUGUUUUU